GACGAACGCUGGCGGCACGCUUAACACAUGCAAGUCGAACGGAAAGGCCUGCUUUCCCUUGUGGAUUGCGGGUACUCGAGUGGCGAACGGGUGAGUAACACGUGAGUGAUCUGCCCCCAACUUGGGUAUAAGCCUGGGAAACUGGGUCUAAUUCCCGAUAGGACUGCAGGGUGGUGCCUGUGGUGGAAAACGAUUUUCUAGUGGUUGGGGAUGAGCUCGCGGCCUAUCAGCUUGUUGGUGGGGUAAUGGCCUACCAAGGCGGCGACGGGUAGCCGGCCUGAGAGGGUGGACGGCCACAUUGGGACUGAGAUACGGCCCAGACUCCUACGGGAGGCAGCAGUGGGGAAUAUUGCACAAUGGGCGGAAGCCUGAUGCAGCGACGCCGCGUGGGGGAUGACGGCCUUCGGGUUGUAAACUCCUUUCGACCGCGAGGAAGCCACCAGGUUGGUAGGGUGGUGACGGUAGUGGUAGAAGAAGCACCGGCUAACUACGUG
rnacentral:rRNA from 1 species